CCUACCUGUAGGUGACUGACGGUACCGUAAGAAUAAGGACCGGCUAACUCCGUGCCAGCAGCCGCGGUAAUACGGAGGGUCCGAGCGUUAUCCGGAAUCAUUGGGUUUAAAGGGUCCGUAGGCGGGCCUGUAAGUCAGGGGUGAAAUUUUGUGGCUCAACUCCAGAACUGCCUUUGAUACUGCGUGUCUUGAAUUAUGGUGGGGUCGCUGGAAUUUGUGGAGUAGCGGAGAAAUGCUUAGAUAUAACGUAGAACACCGAUUGCGAAGGCAGGUGACCAACCAUGUACUGACGCUGAUGGACGAAAGCGUGGGUAGCGAACGGGAUUAGAUACCCUGGUAGUCCACGCCGUAAACGAUGGAUACUAGCUGUGGGGACUU
rnacentral:rRNA from 1 species